GACGAACGCUGGCGGCGUGCUUAACACAUGCAAGUCGAACGGAAAGGCCCCUUUGGGGGUACUCGAGUGGCGAACGGGUGAGUAACACGUGAGUAACCUGCCCUUGACUUCGGGAUAACUUCAGGAAACUGGGGCUAAUACCGGAUAGGAAUCCUUGCUGCAUGGUGGGGGUUGGAAAGCUUCGGCGGUUUUGGAUGGACUGGCGGCUUAUCAGCUUGUUGGUGGGGUAGUGGCUUACCAAGGCUUUGACGGGUAGCCGGCCUGAGAGGGCGACCGGCCACAUUGGGACUGAGAUACGGCCCAGACUCCUACGGGAGGCAGCAGUGGGGAAUAUUGCACAAUGGGCGGAAGCCUGAUGCAGAAAGGCCGCGUGCGGGAUGACGGCCUUCGGGUUGUAAACCGCUUUCAGCAGGGGCGAAGCUUGUGGUGACGGUACCUGCAGAAGAAGCACCGGCUAACUACGUG
rnacentral:rRNA from 1 species